rnacentral:rRNA from 1 species
UAGUCCACGCUGUAAACGAUGUCGAUUUGGAGGUUGUGCCCUUGAGGCGUGGCUUCCGGAGCUAACGCGUUAAAUCGACCGCCUGGGGAGUACGGCCGCAAGGUUAAAACUCAAAUGAAUUGACGGGGGCCCGCACAAGCGGUGGAGCAUGUGGUUUAAUUCGAUGCAACGCGAAGAACCUUACCUACUCUUGACAUCCAGAGAACUUAGCAGAGAUGCUUUGGUGCCUUCGGGAACUCUGAGACAGGUGCUGCAUGGCUGUCGUCAGCUCGUGUUGUGAAAUGUUGGGUUAAGUCCCGCAACGAGCGCAACCCUUAUCCUUUGUUGCCAGCGGUUCGGCCGGGAACUCAAAGGAGACUGCCAGUGAUAAACUGGAGGAAGGUGGGGAUGACGUCAAGUCAUCAUGGCCCUUACGAGUAGGGCUACACACGUGCUACAAUGGCAUAUACAAAGAGAAGCGACCUCGCGAGAGCAAGCGGACCUCAUAAAGUAUGUCGUAGUCCGGAUUGGAGUCUGCAACUCGACUCCAUGAAGUCGGAAUCGCUAGUAAUCGUAGAUCAGAAUGCUACGGUGAAUACGUUCCCGGGCCUUGUACACACCGCCCGUCACACCAUGGGAGUGGGUUGCAAAAGAAGUAGGUAGCUUAACCUUCGGGAGGGCGCUUACCACUUUGUGAUUCAUGACUGGGGUGAAGUCGUAACAAGGUACCAAGGGCGAA